AGCAUCCUUCGGGGCAGGGUGAAACUCCCGACCGGCGGUGAUGGUGAUGGAUCAAUCACCUCAGUCCGUGACCCGCUAAUCGCGGUGGAUUCGGUGCAACUCCGAAGCCGACAGUAAUAGUCUGGAUGGGAGAAGGAUGGU
rnacentral:ncRNA from 1 species